rnacentral:rRNA from 1 species
CACGUGAAAUCCCGUCGGGAUCUGGGAGGACCAUCUCCCAACCCUAAAUACUCCCUAGUGACCGAUAGUGAACCAGUACCGUGAGGGAAAGGUGAAAAGCACCCCGGGAGGGGAGUGAAAUAGAACCUGAAACCGUGUGCCUACAACAAGUUCGAGCCCGUUAAUGGGUGAGAGCGUGCCUUUUGUAGAAUGAACCGGCGAGUUACGUUAUGAUGCGAGGUUAAGUUGAAGAGACGGAGCCGUAGGGAAACCGAGUCUGAAUAGGGCGCCUUAGUAUCAUGACGUAGACCCGAAACCAUGUGACCUACCCAUGAGCAGGUUGAAGGUGCGGUAAGACGCACUGGAGGACCGAACCAGGGCACGUUGAAAAGUGCUUGGAUGACUUGUGGGUAGCGGAGAAAUUCCAAACGAACUUGGAGAUAGCUGGUUCUCUCCGAAAUAGCUUUAGGGCUAGCGUCGACAUUAGAGAUUCUUGGAGGUAGAGCACUGUUUGGGUGAGGGGUCCAUCCCGGAUUACCAAUCUCAGAUAAACUCCGAAUGCCAAUGAAUUAUGGUCGGCAGUCAGACUGCGAGUGCUAAGAUCCGUAGUCGAAAGGGAAACAGCCCAGACCACCAGCUAAGGUCCCAAAAUAAUUGUUAAGUGGAAAAGGAUGUGGGGUUGCACAGACAACUAGGAUGUUAGCUUAGAAGCAGCUAUUCAUUCAAAGAGUGCGUAAUAGCUCACUAGUCGAGUGACCCUGCGCCGAAAAUGUACCGGGGCUAAAACAAUUUACCGAAGCUGUGGAUACCUUUAUAGGUAUGGUAGGAGAGCGUUCUAUGUGUGAUGAAGGUAUACCGUGAGGAGUGCUGGAACGCAUAGAAGUGAGAAUGCCGGUAUGAGUAGCGAAAGACAGGUGAGAAUCCUGUCCACCGUAAGACUAAGGUUUCCAGGGGAAGGCUCGUCCGCCCUGGGUUAGUCGGGACCUAAGGAGAGACCGAAAGGUGUAUCCGAUGGACAACAGGUUGAUAUUCCUGUACUAGAGUAUGUAGUGAUGGAGGGACGCAGUAGGCUAACUAAAGCAGACGAUUGGAAGAGUCUGUCUAAGCAGUGAGGUGUGAAUUGAGUCAAAUGCUUAAUUCUAUAACAUUGAGCUGUGAUGGGGAGCGAAGUUUAGUAGCGAAGUUAGUGACGUCACACUGCCAAGAAAAGCUUCUAGCGUUUAAACAUACUCUACCCGUACCGCAAACCGACACAGGUAGUCGAGGCGAGUAGCCUCAGGUGAGCGAGAGAACUCUCGUUAAGGAACUCGGCAAAAUGACCCCGUAACUUCGGGAGAAGGGGUGCUGACUUAAAGUCAGCCGCAGUGAAUAGGCCCAAGCAACUGUUUAUCAAAAACACAGCUCUCUGCUAAAUCGUAAGAUGAUGUAUAGGGGGUGACGCCUGCCCGGUGCUGGAAGGUUAAGAGGAGUGCUUAGCGUAAGCGAAGGUAUGAAUUGAAGCCCCAGUAAACGGCGGCCGUAACUAUAACGGUCCUAAGGUAGCGAAAUUCCUUGUCGGGUAAGUUCCGACCCGCACGAAAGGCGUAAUGAUUUGGGCACUGUCUCAACGAGAGACUCGGUGAAAUUUUAGUACCUGUGAAGAUGCAGGUUACCCGCGACAGGACGGAAAGACCCCAUGGAGCUUUACUGCAGUUUGAUAUUGAGUGUCUGUACCACAUGUACAGGAUAGGUAGGAGUCUAAGAGAUCGGGACGCCAGUUUCGAAGGAGACGCUGUUGGGAUACUACCCUUGUGUUAUGGCCACUCUAACCCAGAUAGGUGAUCCCUAUCGGAGACAGUGUCUGACGGGCAGUUUGACUGGGGCGGUCGCCUCCUAAAAGGUAACGGAGGCGCCCAAAGGUUCCCUCAGAAUGGUUGGAAAUCAUUCGCAGAGUGUAAAGGUAUAAGGGAGCUUGACUGCGAGAGCUACAACUCGAGCAGGGACGAAAGUCGGGCUUAGUGAUCCGGUGGUUCCGUAUGGAAGGGCCAUCGCUCAACGGAUAAAAGCUACCCUGGGGAUAACAGGCUUAUCUCCCCCAAGAGUUCACAUCGACGGGGAGGUUUGGCACCUCGAUGUCGGCUCGUCGCAUCCUGGGGCUGUAGUCGGUCCCAAGGGUUGGGCUGUUCGCCCAUUAAAGCGGCACGCGAGCUGGGUUCAGAACGUCGUGAGACAGUUCGGUCCCUAUCCGUCGCGGGCGUAGGAAAUUUGAGAGGAUCUGCUCCUAGUACGAGAGGACCAGAGUGGACUUACCGCUGGUGUACCAGUUGUCUUGCCAAAGGCAUCGCUGGGUAGCUAUGUAGGGAAGGGAUAAACGCUGAAAGCAUCUAAGUGUGAAACCCACCUCAAGAUGAGAUUUCCCAUGAUUAUAUAUCAGUAAGAGCCCUGAGAGAUGAUCAGGUAGAUAGGUUAGAAGUGGAAGUGUGGCGACACAUGUAGCGGACUAAUACUAAUAGCUCGAGGACUUAUCCAA